AACGAACGCUGGCGGCAUGCCUAACACAUGCAAGUCGAACGAGACCUUCGGGUUUAGUGGCGCACGGGUGCGUAACGCGUGGGAACCUGCCUUUAGGUUCGGAAUAACUCAGAGAAAUUUGAGCUAAUACCGGAUGAUGUCUUCGGACCAAAGAUUUAUCGCCUUUAGAUGGGCCCGCGUUGGAUUAGCUAGUUGGUGGGGUAAAGGCCUAUCAAGGGGACGAUCCAUAGCUGGUCUGAGAGGAUGGUCAGCCACACUGGGACUGAGACACGGCCCAGACUCCUGCGGGAGGCGGCAGUGGGGAAUAUUGGACAAUGGGCGAAAGCCUGAUCCAGCAAUGCCGCGUGAGUGAUGAAGGCCUUAGGGUUGUAAAGCUCUUUUACCCGAGGUGAUAAUGACAGUAACGGGAGAAUAAGCACCGGCUAACUCCGUG
rnacentral:rRNA from 1 species